rnacentral:rRNA from 1 species
UACGUAGGGGGCAAGCGUUGUCCGGAUUUAUUGGGCGUAAAGAGCUCGUAGGCGGCUCGGUAAGUCGGAUGUGAAACCUCCAGGCUCAACCUGGAGACGCCAUCUGAUACUGCCGUGGCUUGAGUCCGGUAGAGGAGCAGGGAAUUCCUGGUGUAGCGGUGAAAUGCGCAGAUAUCAGGAGGAACACCGAUUGCGAAGGCAGCUCGCUGGGACGUAACUGACGCUGAGACGCGAAAGCGUGGGGAGCAAACAGG